ensembl:lncRNA
CUCAAGAGGCUAGGAACAGCCAGUGACCACAGCAGUUAGCAUAUGACGAUACUUUGAUAUCAGGAAGAACAGCAAUGGCAGAAAAGAUUUAUCUCACAUGCCAACACAGAUCGAUGGCAGUGGUUGCCUGGAGUGCUGUGUUACGAAGGAAAAGACGGCUUUGCUCAAUUAGCAAUGUAUGCGCUGAGCAUGGUAGGAGAAAUUGCCGGCACUUCUACCAGGGGUCUAGCAUGGUGCAAUGCUAUUCAGGAUGCAAAAGUAGCAGAGGACCUCUGAGGAGGUUACAUGCGGCUUGGGAGAUGAGUGAUAAAUACAUGAAACAGCUGGGGAAAAAUACUAGACUGGAUAAAAUCAAGUGUGAGAGGAUUUGGUUCAGAUUUCAAGCACUACAGGAAUUCAGAAGCAAGGAAGAUCACACAAGGAGAGAAAUCAAAGAACAGUCACUGUGAAAGGGAUUGCAAGAAGCCGCUCUUCCUGUCUCAGGUGUCAGCAGUCAACUCUGUGGCUAUCAUCACCCUGGGAAAGACUGAAAUCAAGAUUCUGUGAUAUUCCACACCUGUCCCAGACAAUUCCAGCACAUCCCACCCUGAGAACAGCCAGAGGAGGAGAUCAGCCACGGAUUCUUAAUGAACUCUCUGGAGAGAGGUUGGGUGUUGACACCUCGGUGUGAAUUCUUCCCUCAUCUCUCAUCUGAGCGUCCCCUGUGUGAUGGCCAGUUCUCCUCAUGGGCAGCUGCCCACACGCUCCCUCUGAAGUGAAGUCUGAUGGUUGACAAGCCCUACACAUGCAGAUGGAGCUUUUAUUGCCUCUCUCUUAAAUAUGAAACAAAGAUUUAGUUAACAAAUAUUUAUUAAAUGCCCACUAGAUGCCAGAGAGAGGUCUUGGCACGUAAUAGUCAACAAAAGAGACCCCAAUCCCUGCCUGCCUUGGAGCUUACAUUCUAGUGAUGGAAGACGGAAAAAAUUUAAGGAGCUUAUCCUACUUCUGGUUGUGAUGGAGUAGCUCACAGCAGACCAAGUCUCCUGUUGAAAACAUCUAGAAAACAUGAACCACAAAAUACACAUUUUUAUAAGACAUCAAAGAGCAGCCAAAAUAUUCAGGACUUGAAGGGUCAAGAUCCCAGAAGAAGAAAAACUCAUUAAGAGAGGAUUUACAUCUGCUUCUGAUAGCUGUCUGGUCUGGAGGAACUACCACCUUAAACCAAGUUCAAGGCUUAAGGGUCCUUGAUCCACCCCGGAGUGUGAAAUCCACGCACUUAUUUGCAGGACGGCUGCUUCCCUUCUGGCUCUGUUUUACCCCAGGAAUUAUUCUUUGGAGGUUCAAGUUUAUUGUAAGGGUGAUUUCUUAGUAGCCUUUGUAUCUUGUAUGGGCCUUUUGAUGUCUGUCUCGAUCACCCCAUGAAGUCACCAAAAUGAAAGCUCAGUUUUGCGAGGAUCAGCAAAUAUUGUCAGGGCAGAAGUUGCUUCUGUGCUUACUUAAUAUUGUUUUCCAUUUAGGUCUGGUAAUUCCUUUCUACCUUGUUAGCUCUUGCAUGCUUUUGAGUAGAUGCUUUUUGUAUUAUAUUUGGCAUUUUUGGUUGUUUUCAGCAGGAUAGUUGGUCUGGGUAACUGAUCUGCUAUUCUCAGAAACUGCAAGUCCAAGAUAAUGAAUAAUCUGCGUUAUGAUGAUAUCUCACAGAAUUUGCAGUUCACGUAGAUUGUAAGCUGAAAAUAGCUGUUAAAUUGUCAGUUAUUAUUGUUAGAAAGUAGAGGAAAGAAACCCAGUUACUGUCUGCCACCAUCUCAUGUGGGGAUGUGUCAUCUCCUCAGAAUGACUGUGGUUUUGCAAGCUCCCACUCACUAUUUAGCCAAAUAAGAAAAUUUAUUAGGGCUUUGCUACAAAGCAGAGGUUGCCAAACUAUGACCUAGGAGGCAAAUCUGGUCUGUGGCCUGUUUUUAUAAAUAAAGUUUUAUUGGAAG